rnacentral:rRNA from 1 species
GAUGAACGCUGGCGGCGUGCCUAAUACAUGCAAGUCGAGCGAACAGACGAGGAGCUUGCUCCUUUGACGUUAGCGGCGGACGGGUGGGUAACACGUGGGUAACCUACCUAUAAGACUGGGAUAACUUCGGGAAACCGGAGCUAAUACCGGAUAAUAUUUCGAACCGCAUGGUUCGAUAGUGAAAGAUGGCUUUGCUAUCACUUAUAGAUGGACCUGCGCCGUAUUGGCUAGUUGGUAAGGUAACGGCUUACCAAGGCAACGAUACGUAGCCGACCUGAGAGGGUGAUCGGCCACACUGGAACUGAGACACGGUCCAGACUCCUACGGGAGGCAGCAGUAGGGAAUCUUCCGCAAUGGGCGAAAGCCUGACGGAGCAACGCCGCGUGAGUGAUGAAGGUCUUCGGAUCGUAAAACUCUGUUAUUAGGGAAGAACAAACGUGUAAGUAACUGUGCACGUCUUGACGGUACCUAAUCAGAAAGCCACGGCUAACUACGUG